rnacentral:rRNA from 1 species
AAUGAACGUUGGCGGCGUGGAUUAGGCAUGCAAGUCGAGCGCUCAUAGCAAUAUGGGAGCGGCGAACGGCGUAGUAAGACGUAGGAACGUACCCUCGGGUCGGGGAUAGCUAUGGGAAACUGUAGGUAAUACCCGAUAAUCUCUGCGGAGCAAAGGUGUGAUUCCGCCUGAGGAGCGGCAUACGCGAUAUUAGCUAGUUGGUGGGGUAAUGGCCUACCAAGGCGAUGAUGUCUAGGGGGUGUGAGGGCAUGGCCCCCCACGACCGGAACUGAGAUACUGUCCGGACACCUACGGGUGGCUGCAGUCGAGAAUCUUCCGCAAUGGACGAAAGUCUGACGGAGCGACGCCGCGUGCGGGAUGAAGGCCCUUGGGUUGUAACCGCUGUCAGGGGGAUGAAAUCAUGGUGGGUACUCCCAUCAUGUUGACAGAGCCCCAGAGGAAGCGCGGGCUAAGUUCGUGCCAGCAGCCGCGGUAAAGUCUAGC